rnacentral:lncRNA from 1 species
AAUUACUUUCCAUUGGUGGACUGGGUGGUAAUGAACACGGAACCUGUUUGUAGAAGAAUGUUGGGAAAACACGCCCACCCAGGGCGGCUUGUGAAAGAGCGCGUGGGGCAGGUUCCAGCUGGGAGUGUGUCGGGAGGCAUCGCUUGCCGGAGAUGACAGUGAGGUUUAGGGAGUCCUUCAGUGCAGCGGGUUAAGGAUCCCGCGUUGCAGCGGCUGGGCUCAGGUCACUGCUAUCGCAGGGGUUUGAUCCUUGGUCCAGGAGACUUUCGUAUACGGCCGGCAAGGCCAAAAAAAAAACCACAAACAAAACACCAAAAAACCUUAUACUUGGUGUAAUUUGAGGAUAUAGCUUCAUCCACUUCAAUCCAUCAUCAGGCAGCCAGCUCUCGGGUCUGUAGGUCCAGUCAGGGCUCCCCGGUCCGCGUGGCCAGAGCCGAAGUGACUGUCUCUCUCUCCCCUUCCCACCGGGAACCUCGCCUUUGCUGUCCUCCGUCUCAGUCAAAAAUCUCACUAACCACCCAGCUUUUUAAAAAAAUGUUUUAUUUUUUGGCUGCACCAUGGUAUAAUGGAAGUCCCUGGGCCAGAGAUGGAAUCUGAGCCACAGGCGCGACCUACGCCAGAUCCUUUAACCCACUGCCCUGGGCCAGGGAUCGAACCCACACUUCUGCAGUGACCCGAUCCGCUGCAGUAGGAUUCUUAACCCACUGCGCCAUAGCGGGAACUCCUUCAUUAGCCAUGAUGCUGUUGGAUGCAGCACCUUUGGAUUCAUUUUUUACCUCCUCCUUCCAACUAAUCACCAGCUCUUAUCAACCCAUGUCCUUGCCUUGGUUGACCCGGCCCCUGCUAAAGUCUUCAGCCUUCUUUGGAGAAUUUUCCUUUCUGUGGUGAGGGCUCCUGCAUGGAUGGGCUAAUUCCAGCUCCUCAAGGCUUUGAUUCACUUUCUCUCUCUUGCCUCCAGGCCUUUGCCUACCCUAGUCCUUCUGCCAGGAACACGCUUCCCUUUGCUAGCCCGCUUUCCUGGAGAAAAUGCCCUCAUGUUUAAGCUCUUCAUGUAAAAGCACCUUUGUCCAGGGCUGUCUUCUGGAUGGCUGGACAGUUCAGGCCUCCCAGGAUCCCCCUCCCUGACUCCUCCAGGAAUCUCGUCCUUCCUCUAUAAAUGUAACAGGUACAAUCCCUUAACCUGUCUCCCCCCAGAGUUUUAGUUGCCACUAUUCCUCAGUUCCUGGCCAAUGGAAGUCACUCAAGGUGAAAGCUGAAUGAUAAUUAAGAGGACCAGUGCUUUUCCACGUAUAAUGACCACACCUCUACGUCACGUUUCAGGACACAUAAUAUGCCCCCUGUUUGACAUACGGUCUGACAGGCCCAAUGUUUGAAGUCAGACUGUCCAGAUUAUAAAGUAAAAAAUAAUAGCCCGAGGUGCUGGCAAAGGCAUGUUGUUUGAGGAGGGAAGGGUCACAGAAGCAGGGUCUGAGUUUACUGCUCUCCCGUCCCCUCCCACUGCUUCCUGGACUUGUUUAGCUGGCCCUUCGUUGUUUUCUAGCAGGUUAAUCAGAUCUCAGAGCAAAUCAUUAGUAAGCCUAACAGAUAAUGAACGCUGGACAGGGUGUGGAGAAAAGGGAAAAUUCCUGUGCUCUUGGUGGGAAUGUAAAUUGGUACAACCACUGUGGAGAACAGUAUAGAGGUUCCUCAGAAAACUAAAUAUAGAACUGCCGUGUGAUCCAGCAAUCCCACACCUGGACAUGUAUCCUGACAAAAUUACAAUUCAAAAAGAUACAUGCAUCCAUAUGUUCAUUGCAACACCGUUGACAAUAGUCAAGACACGGAAACAACCUAAAUGCCCAUUGACAGAGGAGUGGAUUAAGAUGAUGUGGUAGAUACACAUGAUGGAAUACUACUCAGCCAUAAAAAAGAAUGAAAUAAUUUGCAGCCACAUGGAUGCAACCAGAGAUCCUCAUACUAAGUGAAGCAAGUCAGAAAGGGAAAGACAAAUAUCAUAUGAUAUCACUUAUAUGCAGAAUCUAAAAUAUGGCACAAAUGAACCUGUCUACAGAACAGAAACAGACUCACAGACAUGGAGAACAGACUUGAGGUUGCCACAGGAGUUGGGGGGGACGAGUGGGAUGGCCUGGGAGUUUGAGGUUAGUGGAUGGAAACGCUAACCUUUAGAAUGGAUAAGCAAUGGGGUCCUGCUGUACAGAGUGGGGAAGCGUAUCCAGUCUCGGGGGAUAGACCGCGACGGAAAAGAACAUAAGGAAGGGAAUGUAUGUACAUAUGCAUGACUGGGUCACUGUGCUGUAGGGCAGAAAUUGGCACAACAUUGCAAAUCAGCUUUAACAACAACAACAAAAACCCCAAUGCAAAUGCAAAAGAGCAGGCGAGCUAGGGACCUCCUGUCACAGCAGCACGCUUUUCUCACAGGCUCCCACCUACACUUUGCUUCUCUAGCCGAGACUCUGCCUUCACAAGCUCCUCCAGCCCUGCCCAGCUCUUAAAAGUAUGUUGUGCCAGGGAUGUGGUCCUCAACCACCUCUCUUUUCACAGCACACACUUGCCCCGCGUGGUUCCCUUCACGCCCAUGACGUGCCCCCGACUCAGGUUGCCGGCGUCAAGGUCUUCGCCUCUAGCCAGUCGCCUUGGUUGGAGGGACUAGCUAACUGCCUAACAGGUGUGUCCAGCUGGGCAUCCACAAAGUACAACGCGUCCAGAAACAAACUGAUCCACCUUGCACAGCUGCUUCCUCUUGUCCUGGUUCUGCAAUUUCCCAAAAUACACUUUAGACUCAUGAGAGUUAUAAAGGUACAUAUUUAUUAAAUGUUACGCCACAGGCCAGACACUACACUCGUCUAAGAGCUUAUAUUCAUUUAAUUCUUGAAAUAUUAAGCACUGGUACAACCCCGCUUUACAGAUGGACCACGAACCCACAAAGAGGUAAAGUGACUUGUCCCACAAUUAAGUCACCAAAGGCAGAAUUCAAAUCAAGUUUGGCUUCAGAGUCUGGAUAUGUAACGCCUGUGACACCCGCCUCUGGAAUCGUUAGGUUUUUAAAUAUUAUUUUCUUCCCUGAUGAGCAAGAUUCUUCAGGACUGGUUUCCUAAGACCAAGCUCUGAAAUCCCAGCACCUUGCUCCAUGCCUGGUACAUAACAGCGUUG